rnacentral:rRNA from 1 species
AACGCUAGCUACAGGCUUAACACAUGCAAGUCGAGGGGCAGCAUGAAGUCAGCUUGCUGACUUUGAUGGCGACCGGCGCACGGGUGAGUAACGCGUAUCCAACCUGCCCCAUACUCGGGAACAGCCCUCCGAAAGGAGGAUUAAUGCCCGAUGUGUUCCAUUGAAGGCAUCUGAUUUGGAUUAAAGAUUUAUCGGUAUGGGAUGGGGAUGCGUCUGAUUAGCUUGUUGGCGGGGUAACGGCCCACCAAGGCAACGAUCAGUAGGGGUUCUGAGAGGAAGGUCCCCCACAUUGGAACUGAGACACGGUCCAAACUCCUACGGGAGGCAGCAGUGAGGAAUAUUGGUCAAUGGGCGGAAGCCUGAACCAGCCAAGUAGCGUGCAGGAUGACGGCCCUAUGGGUUGUAAACUGCUUUUAUACAGGAAUAAAGUUAGCCACGUGUGGUUAUUUGUAGGUACUGUAUGAAUAAGGACCGGCUAAUUCCGUGCCAGCAGCCGCGGUAAUACGGAAGGUCCGGGCGUUAUCCGGAUUUAUUGGGUUUAAAGGGAGCGUAGGCCGGAGAUUAAGCGUGUUGUGAAAUGUAGAUGCUCAACAUCUGAACUGCAGCGCGAACUGGUUUCCUUGAGUACGCACAAAGUGGGCGGAAUUCGUGGUGUAGCGGUGAAAUGCUUAGAUAUCACGAAGAACUCCGAUUG